CAAUAGCGUAUAUUAAAGUUGUUGCAGUUAAAAAGCUCGUAGUUGGAUUUCGGGGCAGCCUGGCUGGUCCGCCGCAAGGCGAGUACUGGUCAGCCGCCCUUCCUCUCGAAAGCCCCGACUGCUCUUUAUUGCAGUGGUCGGGUAGUUCGGGACGUUUACUUUGAAAAAAUUAGAGUGUUCAAGGCAGGCCUACGCCUGAAUACAUUAGCAUGGAAUAAUGGAAGAGGACCUCGGUCCUAUUUUGUUGGUUUCCAGGACCGAAGUAAUGAUUAAGAGGGACAGUUGGGGGCAUUCGUAUUUAAUUGUCAGAGGUGAAAUUCUCGGAUUUAUGAAAGACGAACAACUGCGAAAGCAUUUGCCAAGGAUGUUUUCACUAA
rnacentral:rRNA from 1 species